rnacentral:rRNA from 1 species
GAUGAACGCUGGCGGCGUGCCUAAUACAUGCAAGUCGAGCGAACAGACGAGGAGCUUGCUCCUCUGACGUUAGCGGCGGACGGGUGAGUAACACGUGGAUAACCUACCUAUAAGACUGGGAUAACUUCGGGAAACCGGAGCUAAUACCGGAUAAUAUAUUGAACCGCAUGGUUCAAUAGUGAAAGACGGUUUUGCUGUCACUUCUAGAUGGAUCCGCGCCGCAUUAGCUAGUUGGUAAGGUAACGGCUUACCAAGGCGACGAUGCGUAGCCGACCUGAGAGGGUGAUCGGCCACCCUGGAACUGGGACACGGUCCAGACUCCUACGGGAGGCAGCAGUAGGGAAUCUGCCGCAAUGGGCGAAAGCCUGACGGAGCAACGCCGCGUGAGUGAUGAAGGUCUUCGGAUCGUAAAACUCUGUUAUUAGGGAAGAACAAAUGUGUAAGUAACUAUGCACGUCUUGACGGUACCUAAUCAGAAAGCCACGGCUAACUACGUG